rnacentral:rRNA from 1 species
AGUGAACGCUGGCGGUAGGCCUAACACAUGCAAGUCGAACGGCAGCACAGUAAGAGCUUGCUCUUACGGGUGGCGAGUGGCGGACGGGUGAGGAAUACAUCGGAAUCUACUUUUUCGUGGGGGAUAACGUAGGGAAACUUACGCUAAUACCGCAUACGACCUACGGGUGAAAGCAGGGGAUCUUCGGACCUUGCGCGAUUGAAUGAGCCGAUGUCGGAUUAGCUAGUUGGCGGGGUAAAGGCCCACCAAGGCGACGAUCCGUAGCUGGUCUGAGAGGAUGAUGGGAUACAGGGGGAGGGAGUAUCGGCCCAGACUCCGACGGGUGGACGCGGUGGGGAAGAUUGGAGGAGGAGCCAGAGCGGAAUACAGGCAUAGCGGGUGGAUAAGGAACGCCUUUGGGUUCUACAGCCCUGUUGUUGGGAAAGAAAAAAAGCAGGUUAAUACCCCGUUGUUCUGACAGUACCCGAAGAAUAAGCGCAGGCUAACGUCGUG